GCGGAUGUGGCGAAAUUGGUAGACGCACCAGAUUUAGGUUCUGGCGUAGCAAUACGUGAAGGUUCGAGUCCUUUCAUCCGCA
rnacentral:tRNA from 2 species